GCAAUGCUGAGAGGCAGGGAGAGGAAAGAAGAUGAAGUGGAAGCUACUGCAGUGCUGAGGUGGUGGUGGUCCCUUGCCGCUCCAUCGUAAAGAUGGUGGUACAGGUGCAAGUUCUGGGUCAACCGCUGCACAUGAACCCUGUCUGUGCUCAUUGUGAGAAGACUCUGACCACCCGUUCCUUCUUGAAAAAAGCAUGUUCCAGUUUCCUGACUGCUACAUAGACACUCAGUCAACACUGGAAAACUGUUCCACAACCCUGAAGUAACUACUAUAAAGCCAACAUG